rnacentral:rRNA from 1 species
GACGAACGCUGGCGGCGUGCUUAACACAUGCAAGUCGAACGAUGAAGCGGUGCUUGCACCGUGGAUUAGUGGCGAACGGGUGAGUAAUACGUGAGUGACCUACCUUUGACUCUGGGAUAAGCCUGGGAAACUGGGUCUAAUACCGGAUACGACCAAUCUCUGCAUGGGGUGUUGGUGGAAAGCGUUAUGGAGUGGUUUUAGAUGGGCUCACGGCCUAUCAGCUUGUUGGUGAGGUAAUGGCUUACCAAGGCGACGACGGGUAGCCGGCCUGAGAGGGUGACCGGCCACACUGGGACUGAGACACGGCCCAGACUCCUACGGGAGGCAGCAGUGGGGAAUAUUGCACAAUGGGCGCAAGCCUGAUGCAGCGACGCCGCGUGAGGGAUGACGGCCUUCGGGUUGUAAACCUCUGUUAGCAUCGAAGAAGCGAAAGUGACGGUAGGUGCAGAGAAAGCGCCGGCUAACUACGUGCCAGCAGCCGCGGUAAUACGUAGGGCGCGAGCGUUGUCCGGAAUUAUUGGGGGUAAAGAGCUUGUAGGCGGUUGGUCGCGUCUGCUGUGAAGGCCGGGGCUUAACUCCGGUUUUGCAGUGGGUACGGGCUAACUAGAGUGCAGUAGGGGAGACUGGAAUUCCUGGUGUAGCGGUGGAAUGCACAGAUAUCAGGAGGAACACCGAUGGCGAAGGCAGGUCUCUGGGCUGUAACUGACGCUGAGAAGCGAAAGCAUGGGGAGCGAACAGGAUUAGAUACCCUGGUAGUCCAUGCCGUAAACGUUGGGCACUAGGUGUGGGGGACAUUCCACGUUUUCCGCGCCGUAGCUAACGCAUUAAGUGCCCCGCCUGGGGAGUACGGCCGCAAGGCUAAAACUCAAAGGAAUUGACGGGGGCCCGCACAAGCGGCGGAGCAUGCGGAUUAAUUCGAUGCAACGCGAAGAACCUUACCAAGGCUUGACAUGCAUUAGAUCGCGUCAGAGAUGGCGUUUCCCUUCGGGGCUGGUGUACAGGUGGUGCAUGGUUGUCGUCAGCUCGUGUCGUGAGAUGUUGGGUUAAGUCCCGCAACGAGCGCAACCCUCGUUCUAUGUUGCCAGCGGUUCGGCCGGGGACUCAUAGGAGACUGCCGGGGUCAACUCGGAGGAAGGUGGGGAUGACGUCAAAUCAUCAUGCCCCUUAUGUCUUGGGCUUCACGCAUGCUACAAUGGCCGGUACAGAGGGUUGCGAUACUGUGAGGUGGAGCUAAUCCCUUAAAGCCGGUCUCAGUUCGGAUUGGGGUCUGCAACUCGACCCCAUGAAGUCGGAGUCGCUAGUAAUCGCAGAUCAGCAACGCUGCGGUGAAUACGUUCCCGGGCCU